UAGAUAGCUCUGUUGGCUAGAGCAUGGUGCUGAUAACACCAAGGUCUCAGGUUUUAUUCCCGAUGGGACAG